AAAGCCCCGCAAGGGGCCAGUAGAGUGGCAAACGGGUGAGUAACACGUGGGUGACCUGCCUUCGAGCGGGGGAUAACGUCCCGAAAGGGACGCUAAUACCGCAUGACAUCCUGCCUUUGAAGAGGUGGAGAUCAAAGCUGGGGAUCGCAAGACCUAGCACUCGAUGAGGGGCCCGCGCCUGAUUAGCUAGUUGGUGGGGUAAUGGCUCACCAAGGCAACGAUCAGUAUCCGGCCUGAGAGGGCGGACGGACACACUGGGACUGAGACACGGCCCAGACUCCUACGGGAGGCAGCAGUGGGGAAUUGUUCGCAAUGGGCGCAAGCCUGACGACGCAACGCCGCGUGGAGGAUGAAGACCUUCGGGUCGUAAACUCCUUUCGAUCGAGACGAAUGGCCUUCGGGUGAACAAUCCGGAGGAGUGACGGUACCGAGAGAAGAAGCCCCGGCUAACUCCGUGCCAGCAGCCGCGGUAAUACGGGGGGGGCAAGCGUUGUUCGGAAUUACUGGGCGUAAAGGGCUCGUAGGUGGCCAACUAAGUCAGACGUGAAAUCCCUCGGCUUAACCGGGGAACUGCGUCUGAUACUGGAUGGCUUGAGUUUGGGAGAGGGAUGCGGAAUUCCAGGUGUAGCGGUGAAAUGCGUAGAUAUCUGGAGGAACACCGGUGGCGAAGGCGGCAUCCUGGACCAACACUGACACUGAGGAGCGAAAGCCAGGGGAGCAAACGGGAUUAGAUACCCCGGUAGUCCUGGCCCUAAACGAUGAAUGCUUGGUGUGGCGGGUAUCGAUCCCUGCCGUGCCGAANCUAACGCA
rnacentral:rRNA from 1 species